UAUAUGUUAUUUCCCUAAAGUUUGAAUGGUUUUGGAAUGUUUUUGGGUGAAAAAUGUUCAUGGAAAUUUUUUGAGUUUUUCAUGAAUGUUCUUCAUUGUUCUUGACAUUUUAGCCAAGAACAAAAAGUUUUGUGUUUUGAUUCAAAGUUUUGAUUUAUUUCAUAAAGUUUAUGUUUUAUGAUUUUCAAAUGUUUAAAUGUUUUAGAUAUUUGUUUAAAUGGUGUAAGAGAUAUUGGUGGGUGUGUAAGGAUUAAUUUCCUUUCACACACACCACUUGCACCACUUGAUUUCUUUAUGUCAAAACUCACAAAUCAACACACACAUCACUCCAUUUCUUCUUCCAAAACCGGCCAACCCCUAGUGGGGGUACUUUUGGGG
rnacentral:lncRNA from 1 species